ACCCUCUGACUUCCUUCCCCUUUGGAACUGAACACUGGUCUUGGUGGUAGUUAAAACGAGGUAGUAAAAAGUAAUACUGAAGCUGGCCAUAUGGUGGUGUAGCCUGGUAUACAACAUGUGGGCUGGUUUUGAACAGGC
rnacentral:snoRNA from 12 species